GCUGGCGGCGUCCGUUAUCAUGCAAGUCGAGCGAACUGAAUUAGAAGCUUGCUUCUAUGACGUUAGCGGCGGACGGGUGAGUAACACGUGGGCAACCUGCCUGUAAGACUGGGAUAACUUCGGGAAACCGAAGCUAAUACCGGAUAGGAUCUUCUCCUUCAUGGGAGAUGAUUGAAAGAUGGUUUCGGCUAUCACUUACAGAUGGGCCCGCGGUGCAUUAGCUAGUUGGUGAGGUAACGGCUCACCAAGGCAACGAUGCAUAGCCGACCUGAGAGGGUGAUCGGCCACACUGGGACUGAGACACGGCCCAGACUCCUACGGGAGGCAGCAGUAGGGAAUCUUCCGCAAUGGACGAAAGUCUGACGGAGCAACGCCGCGUGAGUGAUGAAGGCUUUCGGGUCGUAAAACUCUGUUGUUAGGGAAGAACAAGUACAAGAGUAACUGCUGUACCUUGACGGUACCUAACCAGAAAGCCACGGCUAACUACGUGCCAGCAGCCGCGGUAAUACGUAGGUGGCAAGCGUUAUCCGGAAUUAUUGGGCGUAAAGCGCGCGCAGGCGGUUUCUUAAGUCUGAUGUGAAAGCCCACGGCUCAACCGUGGAGGGUCAUUGGAAACUGGGGAACUUGAGUGCAGAAGAGAAAAGCGGAAUUCCACGUGUAGCGGUGAAAUGCGUAAAGAUGUGGAGGAACACCAGUGGCGAAGGCGGCUUUUUGGUCUGUAACUGACCCUGAGGCGCGAAAGCGUGGGGAGCAACAGGAUUAAAUACCCUGGUAUCCCCCCCUAACAAUGAUGCUAAUGUUAAAGGGUUCCCCCCUUUAUGCUGCA
rnacentral:rRNA from 1 species